AGAGUUCGAUCCUGGCUCAGGAUAAACGCCGGCGGCGUGCCUAAUACAUGCAAGUCGAACGAGUGCAGCAAUGCACGAGUGGCGUACGGGUGAGUAACGCGUUGGGAACCUGCCCCCUCGACCGGAAUACCAGGAUGAAAAUCCUGCUAAUGCCGGAUACUGGCUCUGGACCGCAAGGUCCUCAGCUGAAAGGCGGCUUCGGCCGCGCAAGGGGAUGGUCCUGCGUCGCAUUAGCUAGUUGGCGGGAUAAAGGCCCACCAAGGCCGGGAUGCGUAGCCGAGCUGAGAGGCUAAACGGCCACAUUGGGACUGAGACACGGCCCAGACUCCUACGGGAGGCAGCAGUAGGGAGUAUUUGGCAAUGGGGGAAACCCUGACCGAGCAACGCCGCGUGCGCGAUGGAGCCCUUCGGGGUGUAAAGCGCUGUGAUGGGACUGGAACCGCCGCCGGAGGAAAUGCCGGCGGCCUGACGGCCCCUUUAGAAAGCAACUGCUAACUACGUGCCAGCAGCAGCGGUAAUACGUAGGUUGCAAGCGUUAUCCGGAAUUAUUGGGCGUAAAGAGUGAGCAGGCGGCUCUGUAAGCCGGGGGUCAAAUGCACGGGCUCAACCCGUGUUCGUCCCCGGAACUGCAGGGCUAGAGUACUGGAGAGGCAAGCGGAACUCCUCAUGUAGCGGUGAAAUGCGCAGAUAUGAGGAAGAACACCGGCGGCGAAGGCGGCUUGCUAGACAGCGACUGACGCUCAGUCACGAAAGCGUGGGCAGUAAAUAGGCUUAGAUACCCUAGUAAUCCACGCCGUAAACGUUGGGGACCAGGUGGUCGGGGCAUACCCGGCCGCCGAAGCAAACGCAAUGAGUUCCCCGCCUGGGUACUACGUUCGCAAGAAUAAAACUUAAAGGAAUUGACGGGGGCCCGCACAAGCAGUGGAGCAUGUGGUUUAAUUCGUGGCUACGCGGAAAACCUUACCUGGGUUUGACAUCCCGCUAAAGGCCCAAGAGAUUGGGAGAUAGUUAUAGCGGUGAACGGUGGUGCAUGGCUGUCGUCAGCUCGUGUCGUGAGAUGUUGGGUUAAGUCCC
rnacentral:rRNA from 1 species